AAUGGACGAAAGUCUGACGGAGCAACGCCGCGUGAGUGAAGAAGGUCUUCGGAUCGUAAAACUCUGUUGUUAGGGAAGAACAAGUAUCGUUCGAAUAGGGCGGUACCUUGACGGUACCUAACCAGAAAGCCACGGCUAACUACGUG
rnacentral:rRNA from 1 species